GUCUACGGCCAUAUCACCCUGUAUGCACCUGAUCUCAUCUGAUGUGAGAAGUUAAGCAGGGUCAAGCCUAGUUAGUACUUAGAUGGGAUUCUGCCUGGGAAUCCUGGGUGCUGUGGGCU
ensembl:rRNA 5S_rRNA 5S ribosomal RNA